AAGCAGUGGGAGCACCUUCGGGUGUGACUGCGUACCUUUUGUAUAAUGGGUCAGCGACUUAUAUUCUGUAGCAAGGUUAACCGUAUAGGGGAGCCGCAGGGAAACCGAGUCUUAACUGGGCGUUAAGUUGCAGGGUAUAGACCCGAAACCCGGUGAUCUAGCCAUGGGCAGGUUGAAGGUUGGGUAACACUAACUGGAGGACCGAACCGACUAAUGUUGAAAAAUUAGCGGAUGACUUGUGGCUGGGGGUGAAAGGCCAAUCAAACCGGGAGAUAGCUGGUUCUCCCCGAAAGCUAUUUAGGUAGCGCCUCGUGAAUUUCAUCUUCGGGGGGUAGAGCACUGUUUCGGCUAGGGGGUCAUCCCGACUUACCAACCGAUGCAAACUACGAAUACCGAAGAAUGUUAUCACGGGAGACACACGGCGGGUGCUAACGUCCGUCGUGAAGAGGGAAACAACCCAGACCGCCAGCUAAGGUCCCA
rnacentral:rRNA from 1 species